rnacentral:rRNA from 1 species
CCGAGAAUAUUCCGCAAUGGACGCAAGUCUGACGGAGCGACGCCGCGUGCAGGAUGAAGUCUUUCGGGAUGUAAACUGCUGUCAGGGGUUAGAAAUCUAAUGAUCAACCCCAGAGGAAGCAUCGGCUAAUUCCGUGCCAGCAGCCGCGGUAAUACGGAAGAUGCGAGCGUUGUUCGGAAUCACUGGGCUUAAAGCGCAUGCAGGCGGAAUGGGAGGCGCCUUGUGAAAGCCCUCGGCUCAACCGAGGAAUUGCUUGGCGAACCAUCAUUCUUGAGGCAGGUAGAGGCGACCGGAACCUUCGGUGGAGAGGUGA